UGGCAUCAGAAGCUACUUUUAGCGCAGGGGUCGAGUUAUUGAUACAUAUCGAGCCUCAUUGAAUGCCGAUACAGUGCAAACAUUGAUUUGUGGAGGAGAUUGGUGUCGUAGUCUUCAUGGUGUGAAGAGAAAGAACAAAAGUGAGAAGAAAUCUUUGGAGAUUAUGCUUCCCAUUUCUUGAGAGUGAGAAGAAACCUUUGCAAUGCCUUUACAUGGUUGGUGUUCGUAUUGGAGAGACGACUUGAUGUUGGAGGCUUGGAGCAUUAUCUAUAAGAAGAAGUUGCAAAUUUGCUUUUAUUAUGUUGUAUUUGAUUCAAGACUUGUUAGUUUUUGAAUUUUUGAUGCCUUUAGACUAUUUGAAUGUGCAUUUUCGAGUCUAAUCGAUGUUUUGGAUAUCUAAGACUUGUUAUAAUUGAUUUGUAGAAGUACUUCUCGUAAUGAAAUGCUUUGUAAUUUUAUUCAA